rnacentral:rRNA from 1 species
GACGAACGCUGGCGGCGUGCUUAACACAUGCAAGUCGAACGGAAAGGCCCUGCUUUUGUGGGGUGCUCGAGUGGCGAACGGGUGAGUAACACGUGGGUAACCUGCCCUUGACUUUGGGAUAACUUCAGGAAACUGGGGCUAAUACCGGAUAGGAGCUCCUGCUGCAUGGUGGGGGUUGGAAAGUUUCGGCGGUUGGGGAUGGACUCGCGGCUUAUCAGCUUGUUGGUGGGGUAGUGGCUUACCAAGACUUUGACGGGUAGCCGGCCUGGGAGGGUGACCGGCCACAUUGGGACUGAGAUACGGCCCAGACUCCUACGGGAGGCAGCAGUGGGGAAUAUUGCACAAUGGGCGGAAGCCUGAUGCAGCAACGCCGCGUGCGGGAUGACGGCCUUCGGGUUGUAAACCGCUUUCGCCUGUGACGAAGCGUGAGUGACGGUAAUGGGUAAAGAAGCACCGGCUAACUACGUG